AAAGUCGUAACAAGGUCUCCGUAGGUGAACCUGCGGAGGGAUCAUUACAGAGUUUUUAACUCCUAAAACCAUGUGAACUUACCACUGUUUCCUCGGUGGAAGGUACCCGAAAGGGUGCUGGAAGCCGGUGGACAUUUAAACUCUUGUUAAUUUUGUUAAUUCUGAAUCAAACUAAGAAAUAAGUUAAAACUUUCAACAACGGAUCUCUUGGUUCUG
rnacentral:misc_RNA from 1 species